rnacentral:rRNA from 1 species
AGGGCGCAUGGUGAAUGCCUUGGCACUAGGAGCCGAUGAAGGACGGGACUAACACCGAUAUGCUUCGGGGAGCUGUACGUAAGCUAUGAUCCGGAGAUUUCCGAAUGGGGCAACCCAGCAGUUUUAAUCAACUGUUACCACUAGAUGAAUUCAUAGUCUAGUUGGAGGUAAACGCUGUGAACUGAAACAUCUCAUUAGCAGCAGGAAUAUAAAGAAAUUUCGAUUCCCUAAGUAGCGGCGAGCGAACGGGGAACAGCCCAAACCAAAGUGCUUGCACUUUGGGGUUGUAGGACUGAACAUUUGAGUUACCAAAGAACUUGAUAGUCGAAGGAUUUGGGAAAAUCCGCCAUAGAUGGUGAUAGCCCAGUAGAUUAAAUCAAAUUCUCUCAGUUCAGGAUCCUGAGUACGGCGGAACACGUGAAAUUCCGUCGGAAUCCGGGAGGACCAUCUCCCAAGGCUAAAUACUACCUAGUGACCGAUAGUGAACCAGUACCGUGAGGGAAAGGUGAAAAGCACCCCGGGAGGGGAGUGAAAUAGUUCCUGAAACCAUGUGCCUACAAUAAGUCAGAGCGCGUUAAUGCGUGAUGGCGUGCCUUUUGUAGAAUGAACCGGCGAGUUAUGAUCCCGUGCAAGGUUAAGACUAAAAAGUCGGAGCCGUAGCGAAAGCGAGUCUGAAAUGGGCGUUUUGAGUACGAGGUUAUAGACCCGAAACCAGGUGACCUAUCCAUGUCCAGGUUGAAGGUGCGGUAAAACGCACUGGAGGACCGAACCCGUGUAAGUUGAAAAUUGCUGGGAUGAGGUGUGGAUAGCGGUGAAAUUCCAAACGAACUUGGAGAUAGCUGGUUCUCUCCGAAAUAGCUUUAGGGCUAGCCUCGGAAUUAGGAUCAUGGAGGUAGAGCACUAUUUGGACUAGGGGCCCGUCUUGGGUUACUGAAUUCAGAUAAACUCCGAAUGCCAUUGAUUCAUAUCCGGGAGUCAGACGAUGAGUGAUAAGAUCCACCGUCGAAAGGGGAACAGCCCAGACCAUCAGUUAAGGUCCCUAAAUGUAUGCUAAGUGGAAAAGGAUGUGGAGUUGCAUAGACAACUAGGAUGUUGGCUCAGAAGCAGCCACCAUUUAAAGAGUGCGUAAUAGCUCACUAGUCGAGUGAUCCUGCGCCGAAAAUGUACCGGGGCUAAGCAUACUACCGAAACCAUGGAUGCGACCAUUAGGUCGCGUGAUAGGAGAGCGUUCUAAGGGCGGUGAAGCAAGAUCGUGAGGACUUGUGGAGCGCUUAGAAGUGAGAAUGCCGGUAUGAGUAGCGAAAGAUAGGUGAGAAUCCUAUCCACCGAAUGACUAAGGUUUCCUGGGGAAGGCUCGUCCUCCCAGGGUUAGUCGGGACCUAAGUCGAGGCCGAGAGGCGUAGACGAUGGAUAACAGGUUGAGAUUCCUGUACUAGUUAAGUGCGUUUGAGCAAUGGAGGGACGCAGGAGGCUAAGAUGUGCAUUCUGUUGGAUUAGAAUGUCCAAGCAGUAAGUCUUGUGAAGAGUCAAAUGCUUUUCACUUUAAGGACAAGCUGUGAUGGGGAGCGAAAUUUAGUAGCGAAGCGUCUGAUGUCACACUGCCGAGAAAAGCUUCUAGUGAGUACUUAACUACCCGUACCGCAAACCGACACAGGUAGUCGAGGAGAGAAUCCUAAGGUGAGCGAGUGAACUCUCGUUAAGGAACUCGGCAAAAUGACCCCGUAACUUCGGGAGAAGGGGUGCUGAUCGCAAGAUCAGCCGCAGUGAAUAGGCCCAGGCGACUGUUUAUCAAAAACACAGGUCUCUGCAAAAUCGUAAGAUGACGUAUAGGGGCUGACGCCUGCCCGGUGCUGGAAGGUUAAAAGGAUGGGUUAGCUUCGGCGAAGCUCAGAAUUGAAGCCCCAGUAAACGGCGGCCGUAACUAUAACGGUCCUAAGGUAGCGAAAUUCCUUGUCGGGUAAGUUCCGACCCGCACGAAAGGCGUAACGAUCUGGGCACUGUCUCAACGAGAGACUCGGUGAAAUUAUAUUGUCCGUGAAGAUGCGGACUACCCGCGACAGGACGGAAAGACCCCAUGGAGCUUUACUGUAGCUUGAUAUUGAGUGUUUGUACAGCUUGUACAGGAUAGGUAGGAGCCAUAGAAACCGGAACGCUAGUUUCGGUGGAGGCGUUGGUGGGAUACUACCCUCGCUGUAUGACCACUCUAACCCGCACCACUAAUCGUGGUGGGAGACAGUGUCAGGUGGGCAGUUUGACUGGGGCGGUCGCCUCCUAAAAAGUAACGGAGGCGCCCAAAGGUUCCCUCAGAAUGGUUGGAAAUCAUUCGCAGAGUGUAAAGGCACAAGGGAGCUUGACUGCGAGACAGACAGGUCGAGCAGGGACGAAAGUCGGGCUUAGUGAUCCGGUGGUACCGUAUGGAAGGGCCAUCGCUCAACGGAUAAAAGCUACCCUGGGGAUAACAGGCUUAUCUCCCCCAAGAGUCCACAUCGACGGGGAGGUUUGGCACCUCGAUGUCGGCUCAUCGCAUCCUGGGGCUGUAGUCGGUCCCAAGGGUUGGGCUGUUCGCCCAUUAAAGCGGUACGCGAGCUGGGUUCAGAACGUCGUGAGACAGUUCGGUCCCUAUCCGUCGUGGGCGUAGGAAAUUUGAGAGGACCUGUCCUUAGUACGAGAGGACCGGGAUGGACAUACCUCUGGUGUACCAGUUGUGCCGCCAGGCGCAUCGCUGGGUAGCUACGUAUGGAUGUGAUAAACGCUGAAAGCAUCUAAGUGUGAAACACACCUCGAGAUGAGAUUUCCCAUUCCUUUAU